GGAAGGAUCAUUAACACUCUUGUGUUACAACAACACCUAAUUGGUUCAACUAAACCCCCCUGUCUAUUUCCGGACACUGCGGCCAGUCUGGCUUGUGUGGAGACACCAAGUUUCAGUCGGAAGCGUCAAUCACCGCGUCCUCAAAAAACGCCUGACGUUUUACAGCCCUCUGUUUGUUGACAACCCCCAUUUUUAACACCCCCUAUUCGCAAACACGACCCCUCGGGGUUAAGCUUUUGUCUCCAAGUUGAAAAACAAAAAAAAUUAUAGGACAACUUUUGGCAGUGGAUAUCUUGGCUCUUGCAUCGAUGAAGAACGCAGCAAAUUGCGAUAAUUAAUGUGAAUCGCAGAAUCCUGUGAAUCAUCAAAACUUUGAACGCACAUUGCAGUCCAGCCCUCGGGUUGGACUAUGCCUGUUUGAGAAUUGGUACUAUCUCUCAACUCCUUGGAGUUGGAUGCUGAGGCUGAUGGUCUGCUUAGGCGCAUUCGUGUGCUUUUUGCCGCCGUCUCCCUUUAAUAGUUCCAAGUCGAAUCCCUUGCGCAUACCAAACGCAUUGGACUUCCUCAGUGCCUAUAUUACAAUAUAAGCACUGGUAACGGGAAGCUAAUCCGAUGCGGCCCAAGACGAGGCGACACCAUACUAUGGCUGAUGAAAGUCUUCGGACUUGCCAUCGCACCAUUAAUCUCAAAUCAGGCAAGAGUACCCGCUGAACUUAAGCAUAUUACUAAGCGGAGGAAAAGAAACUAACUAGGAUUCCCUAAGUAACAGCGAGUGAACAGGGAAAAGCUCAAAGUUAAAAUCGGCGAGGGUUUACCCGAGUCGAGUUGUACUUUGUAGAGAUGUCUCUGGAAGGCGCCAGGUAUAAGUUUGUCUCAGAAUGCGGCAUCAAAGAGGGUGAAAAUCCCGUAUUUGACCUGGAAAGUCCUUUCAACACGGGGCGUCAUCGAAGAGUCAGGCUGUUUGGGAUUGCAGCCCAAAGUGGGUGGUAAGGUUCAUCUAAAGCUAAAUAUUUGCAAGAGACCGAUAAUGAACAAGUACCGUGAGGGAAAGAUGAAAAGAACUUUGAAAAGAGAGUGAUAAUAGUCCUUGAAACUGCCAAAGGGACAAGCGUUAGGAACUGUUGUUGCGCUCAGGAUCUGUUUCUCAAGUAACACUGCCGUCGGUGGCCGAGUCGCAAGACCCCUGCCGGAGGAUUUGAUGUUGCUUGAGGGGCGCCGGAUCCUGGGAUGCCGGUCAACCACACUUUCUGUCCUCCUCUAAGGCUUAGGAUGUUUUCCUUUGCUGGAAGGGAGUGGGCUUGAGUGCGACCUGAUCCUACCGGGACCAGGCUGGCGGCGUAGAACGGUUUUGGGUAGGUGUACACACCGACGAAAACUGCUUGCAGGGUUCGCUGGCGAUGUGUGCUUGCUCGAGGUCGCUCCGUUGCUAGAGGUUGACUACCUCAUGGUUUCUAACGUCCCGUCUUGAAACACGGACCAAGGAGUCUAGCAUAUAUGCGAGUAUUCGGGUGGCAAACCCAUGAAUGCGCAAUGAACGUGAAGGAGCUCUCGGGGCUCUGAGGUAGGAAUCGUCGGUUCGCCGGCGAGGCACUAUCGACCGAUCUGGAUGUUUUUUGAAGGAUUCGAGUUAGAGCAUAUCUGCUAGGACCCGAAAGACGGUGAACUAUGCCUGUAUAGGGUAAAGCCAGAGGAAACUCUGGUGGAAGCUCGUAGCGAUACUGACGUGCAAAUCGUUCGUCAAAUAUGGGUAUAGGGGCGAAAGACUAAUCGAACCGUCUAGUAGCUGGUUCCCUC
rnacentral:misc_RNA from 1 species